GCUCCACUUUCCAGAGAAUUUUGCUAUGCGCUGACGCUGGCGACAGUUUUGAUCUGAAUCUUGCCCACGUGGCUUGCGUUAGUCUUCUCAUUCGGUUCGGUGAAGCCGGUCUGAUUGAUACGAAGUCCAUUUGUUCUCCAUUUCCCGACUUCUCACAUUGUUUCAGGAACUAAACAAGAAACCUGCAUUUAGGAAUACUAAUUAAGAAUCUACUAAAGAUAAUGUUCAAGCCUUAACCUUUCGGAAACCUCUGUAUAUAAAUUAAAGCUACCUGCCCUAAUCAUGUGAUAAGAUACAUGAUACCUGAUGGAAGCACCAGACUCUUGGUGGCAAGUAACUUUAUUAGACUCAAUCUGAACGUAUUGAAAGCCUGUGUUACUAUUCUUGAUUCAUCUGCUGCCUUUCUAUCCAAAAGCAAUAAACUGAAAUUACACACAUCAUAAACCCAGACAUACACAUAUGUACCGUACGGCAAGACAGUAGCCUUCCUGUUUGAAGUCAGUACCCUCCGUAAAGAGAAGUGAAUGUUACCACGUAUUUUGGAUUCCCUUUUAUUUUAGUUCUCCUUUUGAUAAUAAAUCUUAUUAUGAUAAUAUAUUUUUCAAAUAUAUAUAUAUAAGUUAAUUCUUUAGAUAACGUUUUCUUUUAAUUUUAUGUGCUGUAUCAAUCAUUAGGUUUUACU